rnacentral:tRNA from 1 species
GGGUCGUUAGCUCAGCCGGUAGAGCAGCGGACUUUUAAUCCGUUGGUCGCGCGUUCGAGUCGCGCACGACCCACCA